GGGGGCGUUCUGGUUUCGACGGAAUGUUUGAAGCGCUGGCUGCACGUAGAGGUUGGUCGGUUGGCCUCUUUAAAAAGCCGCCCAAAACAAAUAAAUGCAGACUCUAACGAGCUCGCACUUGCUGCUUAAUUGACAGCAUCGUCGAAUCCCUAAUGCCUGUUAGGGGAGGAGGCGCAAACUAGCAGGCUGGAUCGGAGAUCGGGUAACCGGGUCACCUUUCGAGAUUAAACAGGUCACUAGGAAGCGCAACGCGGUGGGUCGGCCCAGCGUUCCCGAAACACCAGAUGAUCCACUAAACGUGUAGAUGCCUUCGUUGAUGGCGUUCCGGACAGGGGUUCGACUCCCCUCGCCUCCACC
rnacentral:tmRNA from 1 species